rnacentral:rRNA from 1 species
UACGUAGGGGGCAAGCGUUGUCCGGAAUCAUUGGGCGUAAAGCGCGUGUAGGCGGUUCGGUAAGUCCGCUGUGAAAGUCGGGGGGCUCAACCCUCGGAUGCCGGUGGAUACUGUCGGGCUUGAGUACGGAAGAGGCGAGUGGAAUUCCUGGUGUAGCGGUGAAAUGCGCAGAUAUCAGGAGGAACACCAAUUGCGAAGGCAGCUCGCUGGGACGUCACUGACGCUGAGACGCGAAAGCGUGGGGAGCAAACAGG